rnacentral:rRNA from 1 species
GGUUUAUUGAUAAUAAUUUUAAGUCUGACCUGCCCACUGAUUGUUUUAAAUGGCCGCGGUAUUUUGACUGUGCAAAGGUAGCAUAAUCAUUAGUUUUUUAAYUGAAAGCUGGAAUGAAAGGUUUAAUGAAAAAAAAACUGUCUUUAUAUAAAAAUUAAAAUUUUCAUUUUUAAGUUAAAAAGCUUAAAUUUUUUUAAUAGACGAGAAGACCCUAUAGAGUUUAAUAAAUUAUUAAAUAAAUUAAAAUUUUAGGUUAGAUUUUUUUAUUUAUUAAAUUUAUUCAGUUGGGGUGAUUAAAUAAUUAAAUAAACUUAUUAAUUUUUAUUUCAUUGAUUUAUGUAUAUUUGAUCCAUUUUUAAUGAUUAAAAGAUAAAAUUACCUUAGGGAUAACAGCGUAAUUUUUUUAGAGAGUUCAAAUCGAAAAAAAAGAUUGCGACCUCGAUGUUGGAUUAAAAUUAAUUUUUGGUAGUAGAAGCUAAAAAUUUUAGGUCUGUUCGACCUUUGAAAUUUUACA